ACGUGAAGCUCGCCCUGGCAACCCCACGUGCUGCGGAUUAGUGCACUUCCGGCGUGCAGAGCUGCCUGCAGUCGACUGUUUGAAGCUUCGCAGUGUUCCCGGGCGAGAUGCAUCCUCAUCUUCAGUUCGGCGCCCAGUUGACCUUGGGGACGACUAUUAGGACCAGAUCCUCAGAGGACUCCAGACACUAUGACGAGGUGCUGGUGAAGUCAGCAGUGUUCUCAGGGGCGGGAAAUCCCAUGUACCCGAGACUCUACGGUGACCUUUGAUCUUCCUGGCAUCGGUGUGCCCUAGAGUUUGAGGUUUUGUUUUUGUUUUUGUUGUUAAAUGAUUAAAGACAAAGAUUCUCGAGAA
rnacentral:lncRNA from 1 species